UCUUCUUGCUUUUUUAUUAUUCAUUUUUUUAUUAUUGUUAAUAAUAAAAAUGAAAAUCAGAUCUUUUUGAUGAUGUUUGGUUUUUGAUUUGCAGAUGUUGGUUGUGAAUCUCUUUGCUUUAGUGGCGAUAAAUCAGCAUUCAAUGAUGUCGUGUAAAGAUGAGGUGAUGAGUUUGAUAUUUUGUUUCUUAGAAUCUGUGUUUUGAGCAUUUUUAGUUUUUCAUGGGAUAAAGAAUUUGUGGCGAAUAAUAUGUGUACCUCAAACCAGAUCAACUUUCUGUUUAUUCUUACACUGGCAAUCAAAAUUCUUGCUUUUUCUAAAUUUUGGGUUCAUCAUUUACUGCCUUCAGCAGUAGCAUGACUUACUUUAUUUUUCUUUUCUCAAUUCUUAAUUUUUUUGUUUGUUUCCUGCAUUUGCUGCCUUCAACAGUAGCAUGACUUAUUCUAUUUUUCUUUUCCCAAUUCAUUUUUUUCCCCUCAUUAAUGCAUGAUGCAGUUUUUUUCCAACUAGAUUGUGGUAAGAAAUUUACGAAUAUCAAUCGAUAUUAUUUCCAAGAUUUAGUUUUUGCCUUCUUCAGAAGAUAAAUAUGGCUACCAUAAAUUGAUAUUAUUUCCAAUAAAUCGUCUUAUAUUUAUGGAAUUUCCGGGCUUGGUCGAAUUCUAUAUAAAGCACUCGCACAAAGAUGAUGGUGAUAUAUCCUCGCAGCGAAGGAUGAAGCGAUGAACUUUUAUCUUUCAUAGUUCACAGUUUUUUCUUAAACAUCUUCUAUUACGCAACCGUAGUUUUUUUCAUUCCUUUAUUCCUUUUAUUGUUUAAUAUUUUUGUUCCUUUUAAUUUAUAUUUGGUUUUGUUUUGCAGUUGAUCGUAAUCGUUCCUCAUAGUCAAUAUUGAGACAAUAAAAUUAAAUCUGGACUUUUACUUUCGUACGAGUGUAUAGGUACGUCCAAAAGUGUUUCAUGGGAAACUCGAAAGUGUUUAUGGGAAUCCUGAUCAAUUUCAACGAGAGGUAUGCUCAUGCUUUUCAUGGGAAGCUCGAAAGUAGUUAUGGGAAUCAUGAUAAAUUUCCGCAAGGAUUUGUUAUAUCUCUUUUGAAUCUUUGAAUCUACUUAAUUAUAUGCAAUCGAUGUUGCACCUUAAAAUCGCAAAUACAUUCUUGCAAGAAAUGCUAACUGUACUUCAUAAAGGGAAUAAUCGCUUAGGCUAGCUUAGAUUAAGCUGUCACAUAUACCAUCACACUAUUUUUUUUUUAGGUUUUAUGAUCAUAUGAGAAACGUAAUCAAUUUGAAUAUUUUUAAAUCAACAAUAUAUGUCAAGAA